rnacentral:lncRNA from 1 species
GUAGUAUCAUUAUUCUUAAAAAAUAGAGGGAAUAUUUUAAAUAAACACCCUUUUUGUGUUCCAAAAAAAGUAGACUGCUUUAUUGAAAUCGAACGAUCUCUUCUUUUCUUUUAUUUUUUCCAAAGUAAAAAUUUGGACCGUUCAAGUAAAAUUCUCAGGACAAUAUUUUUUACGCAUUGACUGUGUAAGCAGCUUUUUUCUAUUUUGAGGCUCGUUUUGGAGGUCCAAAAAUGGGGUCCCGCGGGAAC